UACAGAGGUGGCAAGCGUUGUUCGGAAUUACUGGGAGUAAAGGGCGCGUAGGCGGCCUACUAAGUCAGACGUGAAAUCCCCCGGCUUAACCUGGGAACUGCGUCUGAUACUGGAAGGCUUGAGGAUGGGAGAGGGAUGUAGAAUUCCAGGUGUAGCGGUGAAAUGCGUAGAUAUCUGGAGGAAUACCGGUGGCGAAGGCGGCAUCCUGGACCAUUACUGACGCUGAGGCGCGAAAGCUAGGGGAGCAAACGGG
rnacentral:rRNA from 1 species